rnacentral:rRNA from 1 species
UGAAUACGAGAUGCUACGGCGUCGAAGCAGUCUAUGUCAUACUUCCAAGAAAAGCUUGCACUGUCAUAAACAAAUAAUGCCUGUACCAUAACCGACACAGGUGGGUAGGUAGAGUAUACUAAGGGGCGCGAGAUAACUCUCUCUAAGGAACUCGGCAAAAUGACUCCGUAACUUCGGGAGAAGGAGUGCCUUAUUUAUAAGGUUGCAAUAACAAGAUCCAAGCAACUGUUUACCAAAAACACAGGUCUCCGCUAAGUCGUAAGACGAUGUAUGGGGGCUGACGCCUGCCCAGUGCCAGAAGGUUAAAGAAGUUGGUUAGCAUCCGCGAAGCUGAUAACUGAAGCCCUGGUGAACGGCGGCCGUAACUAUAACGGUCCUAAGGUAGCGAAAUUCCUUGUCGGGUAAGUUCCGACCCGCACGAAAGGCGUAAUGAUUUGGAUACUGUCUCGGAGAGGGGCUCGGUGAAAUAGACUUGUCUGUGAAGAUGCGGACUACCUGCACCAGGACAGAAAGACCCUAUGAAGCUUUACUGUAACCUGAAAUUGAAAUUGGACUUUACUUGCGCAGUAUAGGUGGGAGGCGUUGAGAAUAUUCUUGCGGGAUUAUUGGAGCCAUCAGUGAGAUACCACUCUUGUAAUGUUAGAUUUCUAACUUUGUAUCAUUAUCUGGUCAAAGAACAGUUUCUGGCGGGCAGUUUGACUGGGGCGGUCGCCUCCUAAACGGUAACGGAGGCGCACAAAGGUUUCCUCUGAACGGGUAGAAAUCGUAUCUAGAGUGUAAAGGCAUAAGGAAGCUUGACUGUGAGACCUACAAGUCGAGCAGGGACGAAAGUCGGUCUUAGUGAUCUGACGGUGCUGAGUGGAAAGGCCGUCACUCAACGGAUAAAAGUUACUCUAAGGAUAACAGGCUGAUCUCCCCCAAGAGUUCACAUCGACGGGGAGGUUUGGCACCUCGAUGUCGGCUCAUCGCAUCCUGGGGCGGUAGUACGUCCCAAGGGUUGGGCUGUUCGCCCAUGAAAGCGGUACGCGAGCUGGGUUCAGAACGUCGUGAGACAGUUCGGUCCAUAUCCGGUGUAGGCGUUAGAAUAUUGAGAGGAGCCUUCUUUAGUACGAGAGGACCGAGAAGGACAUACCUCUGGUGUACCAGUUAUCGUGCCAACGGUAAACGCUGGGUAGCUAUGUGUGGAGUGGAUAACCGCUGAAAGCAUCUAAGUGGGAAGCCCACCUCAAGAUAAGUAUUCUCUU